rnacentral:lncRNA from 10 species
GUGAGUUUGUAGGCAUGCUCAUAAACCAUCUCAUUGAAUUAUCCCUGAAUUCUAGAUGAGAUUGAAGCAAACGUGUGUCUUUUUUUCUGGCUUCCCAGCAUCUGAUUCCCCUUCCAGUGGCUGGAGAACAUCCCACCUUCUGAGCCUUGGGGAGAAGCAGAGUGUGCCCUUUCCCUGCCCACUGGAGAAGCUGAAACAACAAAAACUCCCUUCCCUGGCCUCCCUGCAGGAGACUCCAGGAAGACUCCUGAAUGCCACACACUCCUAAACCUGAGAGACCUUCAUGCAGAUUGGGGAGCAGCUUUAGGACUGCUGGGUGGAGCCACAAUGAGACAGAUAAGCUCCAGGAAAAUAAGAAGUGCCGAAACAAUGGAGCCACCCAACAAAAAGGGCUGCCACUGCAAGUGGUGAGCUUCCUGUUACUGGAGGUGAGAAAGUGGAGUUCGAAGAUGUCAUCAGCCCAGGUCACACAGAUGGUGGAGACCAGUGUGGAGCCCGGGAGUGGGCUGAGCAGAGCAUCUGGACUUUGAGCUUCCAUCAGACCCUGAGAUAGUCACCUGUCCUGGCUGCCUGGUGACCCUGGUGUGCUAACGUGGCACUUAUCUUGCUCUAUGGAGGCCCCUGGGCCCCCUAAACACCAGGUGGGUGCCUUCAGCCAGCCCCAUACUGACCUGUGAAGCCCAGGUAUUGCUGGCCAACCCACCCCACUCACAGACAGAAGCAGUUCUCCAUCUUUUGGCUUUAGCAGAUCUGCUUCAUUUCUCCUCCCCACAAAGCCUGGACUUUGUUCUGGGGGUAUCCCUGUUUGCAGUGAAGCUUUUUCACUCAGUGCUCAAUCUGAGCCCAACUCCACCCCACAUCUCUGAUUCAUAGACUUUUGUGACUGCCUUGACCAGUAGAGUAUGGCAGAAGAUGCUCUGUAACUUCCCAGGCUAGAUCUAGAAAAUGCCACGCAUUUCUGCCUUGCUCUCCUGCGACAUCCACUCUUAGAACCCAGUUGCUGUGCUAAAAAGAACUCACAGACCACGUGGAGUGGAGCAGAUGGGUCAGUGUCCCAGGUGGCAGCCCGUGUCGGCCUCAGACCUGCACGUGAGGAUGCCCACCAGAGGGUUCCUGCCACCACCGUCAAGUCACCCCAGCCUUAAUCUUCCAGCCGGCGCCUCAGGCAUUAUGGGCAGAGGUAAACUGUCUCCAUGAUGCCCUUUCCAAAUUUCUGACCCACAGAAUCCAUGGCUAUAAUAAAAUGGCUGUCUUAUGUGCUCAAUUUUGGGGUGGUUUGUAGCAUAGCAGUAUAACUAGAACAUCUAGCUCGUGAGAGAACCAGCAAAGAAAGCAAAAAUCACCCCAGCCUAUAAAGGGCCCUGAGGGUGGUGGGACCCAUGGGUGACAGGAAACCAAUCCCUGCACCCCAAGAGGUGGCAGGGCCUCCAAC